rnacentral:ncRNA from 1 species
GAAGAAGCAAUAGCGAAAUUUUGGCUCAGCGGACAGAAAUCUGAUACAAAGGCGCACCAAGCUGACAAGCCGGCAAAAAGCAGCAAAAUCCCAAAAGCAACAGUAACCUUGAUGCGUAAAUCAGGCAAGUAAACGAGGAAAGGA